rnacentral:piRNA from 1 species
UGUUUUCUUGUUUUGUAUUGUUGAGAGCCA